ACAACCAUGCCACAUUGAAACACCAGUUCUCAUUCGAUCACCAAAGUUAAAUAACAUUGAGCCUGAUCAAUACCUGGAUGUGUGACUGUUUGAGAAUACCAUGUACUGCA